CCCUGACAAGCGCACCCUGUGCUUGACUAAACCCAGACAGGAGAUUGACAUG
rnacentral:ncRNA from 1 species